rnacentral:ribozyme from 1 species
AAGAAAUGACAGUGAAGAUAAAGAAGAAGAGCUAAGAGAAAAGGCUAGAGACAAAGAUAACAUGGAAGAUUACUGUUAUUUCCUUCAUUUAUAGGUUGUUAGCGUCAUUUGGUCUUUUCUUUUCAUAAUGUCUUUCAAUGGUAGAUCCCUUAGUUUUAAAUAUAUGAAAGAAAUCUCUUUGUAAUCUGUAAAUAAUAUGAUAAAGUCCCU